GGAAGGAGUGCUCAGAAGUGUAGUGGUGGCAACAGUUUUAAGUGCUUCAUUAAGGAAGUGAAGCAGUACUUAGCUUUGCUAUCAGAUUCAGAAAGAUUUCUGUUUAACCCAUGGAAUACUGUAUUUUUGACAUAAAUCUGUGUAGUUGCUAAAUAUCUUUUGAACAUAUUUGAUUUCCAUAUAAAUGAUUUCUCUGUGGUUAGGAAAUAAUUACUUAAAUGGGAGAUCAUAUCCACACCUUAGUCUUCUGCAGUAUGGCAUUUUUGCAUAUUGGGAAGCAGGGGGAACAAAUUUGGAGCGUUAUGCAGUUGUGUGCUGCCAUGCCAGAGUGGUGCUAGUGGGGACAGCUGUAGUUUCCAUGUCCUUACCUGUCCCCUCCAUAUUUGCCUUCUUAAAUGCUCUCUGUAUUUUAAAAAGUUCACUCUGUCAGUCACUGUCUGUUAUGUGGUGCAGACAAUUUAAGUAUGGUUUUAUAUUAAUAAAUGUGUGAUAAGACUCCUGCUGCUUUCCCAUGUGGAAAGCCACUAUCACAUGCUCUAAAGACAAAUACUCGUUUGUACUGCUCAUACUGCAUUUUAUUUCUCCUUUCUUAUUUUUUUCUCUAGUUAAUCAAGCAGCAGAAAAAAAAAAAGUCUGGAUUUUAGAUGUCAUGAAACUGUGGCAAUGCAACUGAAAACCACCUUUGGCAUAUUCCUCUGAAACACCAGGUAUGAGGUAUGGUGCGGUGGAAGGAAAGAGUCCAGCUUGCUUCACAACCUUUGCCUGGAGCUGCCUUACCUCUCAAGAACCACAGUUUGCCGGCUUUCUUCUUUGUGACUAAUGACCACCAUGAAGAGCUUCACAGCAGUGUGGCCUGUUACCGGAGCCAGAAAAUACUUGUUUUUGCCUACAAGGGCAGUCUGUGCAUUUUAAGGUAUGUUUAUCAUUAUUUGUCAUGUUUAGCUGUUUGUUUCUUUAAAGACGACUCACAUCUCCAACCUCUGACAAGGUUUAACCAGUGCCGAGGCUGCGGCAACAGAAAUUUCCUAAAUCCAGGCAUUUGCGACACAGUAAUUAAAUGCCCGCAUGCUACUGUCGGCCCCCCUGCCUCCUAAUCCCAGUAAAUUUUGAGCUUUCUAAAAUCAGGCCGUUUCAGAUAUGAAUAAAUCUAUAUGUUAAACCA
rnacentral:lncRNA from 1 species